AAAAAAAAAAAGAGUGAAACUCUUGUCUCCAAAAAAAGAAAAGUUGCAAAGAUCAUACGCAGUCCAGCGUAUUUUAUGCCUCGUUUCAUCUGAUGCUGUCAUCAGAAGCAUCAACAAAAGUGCUUUGUUACAGAUACUGACAGGAUGCAUUAGUGUAACUAAAUCCCAUACUUUACUGGGAUUUCACCUUUUCUGCCAAUGUUUUCUUUACAUGCCAGAGUCCAAGCCAGGACCCACACUCCAUUUAGCUUUCUUUUACCUGUUGUAUUUAGGGCGGGUUUCUUGUAGAUAGCAUGCAGUUGGAUCUUGCUUUUUUUUGCCCAAGCGAACAGUCUCUGCCUUUUAAAAGAGGUGUUUAUAACUGUACUUUUAUUUUUUAUGUGUUAUUCUUUUAGCAUUCUGUACACAGACACAGCGAUACAAUGAAAUGACUGGAACUUAAAUGUGAAAACUCUUUACAAUUGAAUGAUUUUUAUCCUCACGAUGUGCCCUAUUUUCCUGCUUGUUGCGUAUUUGGUGACUUUGUUAUUGGACACUAGACAAGGGCACACGGUACCCUCAGUGCUCAGCACAGCAGUGUGCAGCAGCCUGGUGAACUUUUCUGCAGGGGAGUAUGCGAACGUUCACACCGAGCGGGGUCAGUCACGUCGGGAUAGUGGCAGUUCGCAGCCUCAGGAGAAGAGUUUGGAGUGCCUGUUCCUCCAGAUCCUUGCCCACCCAGGGCGUCACCACUCUUGUUAAUUUUAUUGUAUCUGGGUAGUGAAAAAGAGUAGUUUAUCAUUCUUUCAAA